UACGUAGGGGGCAAGCGUUAUCCGGAUUUACUGGGUGUAAAGGGAGCGUAGACGGCGGAACAAGUCAGAAGUGAAAACCCGGGGCUCAACCCUGGGAGUGCUUUUGAAACUGUUUGGCUGGAGUGCAGGAGAGGUAAGCGGAAUUCCUAGUGUAGCGGUGAAAUGCGUAGAUAUUAGGAGGAACACCAGUGGCGAAGGCGGCUUACUGGACUGUAACUGACGUUGAGGCUCGAAAGCGUGGGGAGCAAACAGG
rnacentral:rRNA from 1 species